rnacentral:rRNA from 1 species
AUUGAACGCUGGCGGCAGGCCUAACACAUGCAAGUCGAGCGGAGCGGCGGACGGGUGAGUAAUGCCUAGGAAUCUGCCUGGUAGUGGUGGAUAACGUCCGGCAACGGGCGCUAAUACCGCAUAUGAUCAGUUGAGUUUAGGUCGGAUUAGCUAGUGGGUGGGGUAAAGGCCUACCAGGGCGACGAGCCGUAACUGGUCUGAGAGGAUGAUCAGUCACACUGGAACUGAGACACGGUCCAGACUCCUACGGGAGGCAGCAGUGGGGAAUAUGGGACAAUGGGCGAAAGCCUGAUCCAGCCAUGCCGCGUGUGUGAAGAAGGUCUUCGGAUUGUAAAGCACGUUAAGUUGGGAGGCGUUACCGACAGAAUAAGCACCGGCUAACUACGUGCCAGCAGCCGCGGUAAUUC